rnacentral:SRP_RNA from 1 species
GAUGGGCACAGUGGCUCACGCCUGUAGUCCCAGCUACUCAGGAGGCUAAGGCAGGAGGAUCAUUUGAGCCCAGGAGUUCUGGGCUGUAGGGUGCUAUGCCAAUUGGGUGUCAGCACAAAGUUCGUCAUCAAUAUGGUGACCUCCUAGGAGCGAGGGACCACCAGGUUGCCUAAGGAGAGAUGAACUGGCCCAGGUCGGAAGCGGAGCAGGUCAAAACUCUUGUGCUGAUCAGUAGUGGGAUCACUCCUAUGAAGAGCCACUGCACUCCAGCCUGGGCAACGUAGCGAGACCCCAUCU